rnacentral:lncRNA from 1 species
CCUUAGUUCUAUUUGCGUUUCAAUAAAACACACACAGACUUACAUAUACUUUCUUGGAGACUGAAUCAAUAAACAACCAAGGUUGUGGGGGAACUCAGCUGAUUAAAAUGGUCUUAUGAUAUUACUUUAAAAUAAUUAUAAAAUAAGCAUUUUUUUCUGUCAACUUAGGAGCAUUUAUAACUGAGCCAUCUGAUUUUUUGUGGAGCCUGAAUUCAAUAUUCUUUAAUAUAUGGAGAAAAAUAUCAUGUCUGCACCUAAAGUUUCAACAAAAAAGUUUCAAAAUAAAUGGUAAAACACAGACUUUAUUGGGUAGCUUUUUGAAUUAACACAGAAAGAAAUGGAUGAUAAAGUGUUCUUUGGCUUGCAAAGGAAAAGAAAAGAUCAAACACCAACUUUGCAUACUGGAUGUCAACCACAGCUGAACCUUAAGGUCUCAGAAAGCUACAAGCCCCCAGAUCUUCUUUAGACCAAAAUGCUUAAUUGAAAAUAACAUGAAUUCAAGCUCAAAGGCCAUUAAGGAGCAGACCUAUGGACAAAAAAUAUUUUGGAAAACGAUUGCUUCUUCUCCCUUUCCCCAAAGCCCGUCUAGUCAGCUUUUUAUAAAAACAAUAAUGAAGAAUAAGGCAUGCCUGGGUGGCUCAGUCGAUUGAACUUCCCACUUGGGCUCAGGUCAUGAUCUCAUGGUUUGGGAGUUGGAGCCCUGCAUCUGGCUCUCUGCUGUCAGUGUGGAGCCUGCUUCGGAUCCUCUGUUGCUCGCUCUCUUUCUCUCUCUCUCUCUCUCUCUGCCCCUUCCCCACUCAUGUACUCUCUUUCAAAAAUAAAUAAACUUAAAAAAAAUAUUGAAGUAUAGUUGACACAAAGUUAUAUUAGUUUCAGGUGUAC